rnacentral:rRNA from 1 species
CCAGACUCCUACGGGAGGCAGCAGUGGGGAAUAUUGCACAAUGGGGGAAACCCUGAUGCAGCGACGCCGCGUGAGUGAAGAAGUAUUUCGGUAUGUAAAGCUCUAUCAGCAGGAACGAGACAAGACGGUACCUGACUAAGAAGCCCCGGCUAACUACGUGCCAGCAGCCGCGGUAAUACGUAGGAUGCGAGCGUUAUCCGGAUUUAUUGGGUUUAAAGGGUGCGUAGGCGGGCUGUUAAGUCAGCGGUAAAGGCCGGGGGCCCAACCCGGGCGAGCCGUUGAAACUGGCAGUCUCGAGUUGGAGAGAAGUAUGCGGAAUGCGCGGUGUAGCGGUGAAAUGCAUAGAUAUCGCGCAGAACUCCGAGUGCGAAGGCAGCAUGCCGGCUCCACACUGACGCUGAGGCACGAAAGCGUGGGUAUCGAGCAGGAUUAGAUACCCGAGUACA